rnacentral:tRNA from 1 species
GGUAAGAUAUUUUAAUUAAAAAUAAAAGAUUGCAAGUCUUUAGAUGUAGUAGUACUCUUACUU